rnacentral:lncRNA from 10 species
GAUGGAAAUGCUCUGUUCCUGCAGUAAUGCUCUCAUGAUUCUCUAUGCAUUUAGGCUGCUGAAUCCUCAGAAAAGCCUAGGAUUACGUAGCUUGUGCUCUUAAGCCACACGUCCAUUGCUCUAUGCACAUACUGAAAUCACAGACAUUUCACUUCAAAUUGCAAGGAGCAAGGUGUGCUCAGCCUCCUCCUGUGAUGUAUCUGGAUUUCAUCCUCCAUGGUGAAAGGCAAAAGGCUGUUUAUCUCUUCUCUGGUCUGUGUAUGAAAGCUACAUGAAAAUGAGCAUUGAAAGGGUUAAGUGCACUCUUCAUGCAGAAAGACAAAACUUGUGGAUUUUCUAUUCCAUUGGGUCCAAACAAGAAGAACGGUCUGUUGCUAUUAUUUUAGGAUUCAACUCAAUAGCUGAUAAAUUUGAUUUCUUUCACACUCGGCAAAGACUUGAAACAUUGUAGCCCCAGAAUGGGAAGUCUCUUCUCCGAACUUAUGAACAUGUAACUCUUCAGUUCUCCCUCAACUUUAUUAAGCAUAUUGAGUUUCAAAAGACAUUCCUACUCUCCUUCUUCAAUAUCUUCUCUUUUUAAACGUUACUUUAUUUUUUAAAUGUAUUAUGCAGUUUUUAAGACUUUCAAAAAGGGAUAAGGAAAACCAAACCAAUACCUACGUAUCUAUCAAGCAGCUCAAGAAAUACAACAUUAGGAGCAGUUAAAUCCACUAUUUAUGCUCACUGCCUUCUAGAUAGAGUCUGUUACUUCCCAGAGGUCAAUUCCUGAGAGCCUAGGGACCUGGGCAUUGUCUUUGCCAUCUUUGUGAGGCCCUGGAGAUUCCCUUUAUGUCUCUGGCUUCUAUGUUGUCGAAGUCUAGGUUGACCUCGUGAUUUUUGAGGCUGUGGGUUAGCCUUGCAAUGUCUGGAACUUGGCUAUGGGUUUUGAAUGCUUUUCCUUGGGCCUUGUCGUCAGAUGGAAGCGCACAUAGCUUCCCAUGGCCACCUCUUCCAGGAUGUUCAAUGAGAAGUCCCAAAGCCCCGCAUGAGGAUCAGCCUGAGAGGCCAAGGGAAGCUGACCAAGCUCUCUGAACUUGAAAUGGACUAGACUCAUAAAGGAGGAAGCAGUGCCACUGUUUCCUGGAGCCUCAGCCCCCUAUGGGGACACCUUGUACUGACAGGGUGAGCCGGGCUGAGGCUGGGUUUGAGGGCAGGUCCAGCUGUCCUCUCACUUGGCCUCUUCUGAGCAGGGUUUCUCUUCCAGCCGUGGCACUGUCCUGGCUGGAGAGCUUCAGGGCAGUGUCUGCCCCAUACCCUCAUCUGGGCUCUGAGAUGGCUUCGUGGGUCAUUUUUGGUGAAGGGGGAGCUCAGAAUAUUUGCAUUAUUUUGUGGACAUUGGUCUUGACUAAGAAUAACUAAGAAUUGAAGGCCCAGGGGUCUUAAAGAUAAGAAAAAAAUGCAAAAACUUAAGGAGUCAUUUGCCCUGUUGCUCCUGGAUAUUGCAGCCAAAUAAACACAUUCCCAAAUUUAUUUAUGUUGCAGACCAGUCAUUUUUCCUUAUACAGGAAUCUUAUUAAAGCAAUAAAUCAAUGUUAACCUGGGUUUUAAAUUGGCCCAAUAUGUUUGGAGAAAUUGCUGGUUUAAUUUUCCUCUUUUUCAUUUUUCAAUUAACUAAUUUAGCUUUCCCAGUUGGGAUACCACAAACCUUAACACAUGAAUUUAUCUUGAAACCAGGAGGCCCCAACAUACAUUGCCAGCAAAACAAAAGAGGAAAACCCAACAUUUGUCCUGUCAUGAGACAGCAAAGAAGCACGGGUCCAGAAAAUAUCUAUCUUUGUUGCUGCAAACUACCUAAGCCUAAGCUCUGUGAAGCAGCCUCAACUGCCUGUAGACUCCCCUGAAUACUCUUUCUGAAUUUUCUCCACAUUCACUGUGACUAAAAGUUUCCAGAGCAUCUCUGUUGUAGACUGAAUGUUUAUAUCCCUCCUACUUCCCCAAAACUCAUAUGUUGAAGCCCUGACCCCUGAUGUGACUGUAUUUGGAGACAGGGCCUUUACAGAAGUAAUUAAGGUUAAAUGAGGCUAUAGGAUGGGGCUCUGAUCUAAUAGGAUUGGUGUCCUUAAGAGACACCAGAGAGCUUGUUUACUCUCUGAGUGUACAAGAAGAGGUCGUAUGGGCACACAAUGAGAUGGUGGCCACCUGCGAAGAGAAGAGGCCUCAGAAUGAAACCCACCCUUCUGGCACCUUGAUCUUGGAUUUCCAAUCUCCAGAACUGUGAGAAAAUAAACUUUUGUUCUUCAAGCCAUGCAAUUUCUACUAUUUUGUUACGACAGCCCAAGCUGACUAAACAGUUACCCAGCAAUGUUUUCCCAGGAACACUGUGAAAACUGCUGGUGCCCUGCCAUCCGCCUGGGAGUGCUUAGUACCCCAGCAUACAUGUACAACUGGACGGAUCUCAGCCAAGGGACCUCAUCACCCACCACAGCUUCGCUAUAUUAUAACACAGUCCAAGACUCCAGAGUAUGAAUGGGCCCAGAUAGCAAAGCAAGCUUCUUUCCCACCAACCUCAGAGCAAAAUGUGUAUGUGAGAGUGUGUGUCUGUUGGGGAGGGGAGACUUUUGCAAUGGACCAAUCCUCCAAGUGUCCUCAACUUCAUGGGUGCGUUGUGAUUUGUUCUCCACCCUGAAGCCUGCAACUUGGACUUGUGAGACCUGGCCUUAGGAAAAUACAGGCUCAGUGAAUGCUAAGUUUGUGGGGAAGCUGUUUUGUAGAGUCAAAAGAACACCGGCUUUGGAGUCAGACAAAGCUAGGUUCAAAUUCCAGCUUUUUAGUGCAUUGACCAAAAUAGUAAAAGUAAGGACUCAUUGUCUAAACUAAUAGAGCUGACAAAUCCAGGCAUGUGUUUUGCCUUCAGGAACAGCUACAUCCAGGCACUCAAAAGACAUCAUUGGAAAUCUAUUUCCUUCUCUCUUUCUGCUCCAGUGAUUUCUCUAUUGGCCUCAUUCUGAGGACAGUGCUUCCUCAGCAGCUCCAGACUCACAUGAUGAAUGGAGGAAGAAGGUCUCUGCCAAGAUUUAUAACACAGGUCUUG